rnacentral:misc_RNA from 1 species
AAGGGGAAAAGCGAAGGCCGCCCGCCUAUCGGCGAAACGCGCUGGAGGGCCUGCGAGGAGGCUGUUGCCGCCGCAGCAGGACCGAAGCGUCGCGAGCCGAUGGCGGCCGGAGCUAGACAGUACGAAAAGCGGAAGCGCCGUAAUUUCGCCUAAAGGCAGCCCGCGUCCUGCGGGCAACGGCGAAAUAUCGCCAUCGUGGCGAUCGCGAUGGGCAAAUGUUCUUCGCCUGCAAGGGUGCUUGCACCCGGAAGGCGAAGGUUAUUUGACCCCGAGCGGCGGCGAGCCGGAGUUAGACAAUUCGAAAAGCGGAGGCCGCAAUGGCCAACUGUCGAUACACAGCGCUUUCGUUUCGUUCGGUUUUGAGGGAAUGAGAAAUUCCUUCACUUGUUUUGCGCCUGCGUCUUCUAGCAGAUUCAAGGAAGAUGGAUUCCUCGGCGCAAAGCUGCAAGGAAGCAGACUCAAGGCAGUCGCUUCGUUCAGUUUUGAAGGAAUGAGAAAUUCCUUCAGUUGCUUUGCGUCUGCGUCUACAAGUGAAUUCAGAGAAGCUGGAUUCCUCGACGCAAGACUGCAGAGAAGUGAAUUCAAUGAAGUAGUCUCGUUCCUUGAAAACUAGAUAACCGGAAACGCAAAGGAAGAAGCCGAGAGCGCUGUA